AUGACAAGCGUGACCAAAAAUCAGUUUGGUUUCAUGCCUGGGAGGUCGACCAUGGAAGCCAUUUUCUUGGUACGACAACUUAUGGAGAGAUAUAGGGAACAAAAGAAGGACUUGCAUAUGGUGUUCAUUGACUUGGAGAAGGCCUAUGAUAAGAUGCCGCGGAAUGUCAUGUGGUGGGCCUUGGAGAAACACAAAGUUCCAGCAAAGUACAUUACCCUCAUCAAGGACAUGUACGAUAAUGUUGUGACAAGUGUUCGAACAAGUGAUGUCGACACCGAUGACUUCCCGAUUAAGAUAGGACUGCAUCAGGGGUCAGCUUUGAGCCCUUACCUUUUUGCAUUGGUGAUGGAUGAGGUCACAAGGGAUAUACAAGGAGAUAUCCCAUGGUGUAUGCUCUUUGCGGAUGAUGUGGUGCUAGUUGACGAUAGUCGGACGGGGGUAAAUGGGAAGUUAGAGUUAUGGAGACAAACCUUGGAAUCAAAAGGGUUUAGGCUUAGUAGAACUAAAAUCGAGUACAUGAUGUGCGGUUUUAGUACUACUAGGUGUGAGGAGGAGGAGGUUAGCCUUGAUGGCCAGGUGGUACCUCGGAAGGACACCUUUCGGUAUUUGGGGUCAAUGUUGCAGGAGGAUGGGGGUAUUGAUGAAGAUGUGAACCAUCGAAUCAAAGCCGGAUGGAUGAAGUGGCGCCAAGCUUCUGGCAUUCUCUGUGACAAGAGAGUGCCACAAAAGCUAAAAGGCAAGUUCUACAGGACGGCGGUUCGACCCGCAAUGUUGUAUGGCGCGGAGUGUUGGCCGACUAAAAGGCGACAUGCUCAACAGUUAGGUGUGGCAGAGAUGCGUAUGUUGAGAUGGAUGUGUGGCCACACGAGGAAGGAUCGAGUCCGGAAUGAUGAUAUACGAGAUAGAGUUGGGGUAGCACCAAUUGAGGAGAAGCUUGUCCAACAUCGUCUGAGAUGGUUUGGGCAUAUUCAGCGCAGGCCUCCAGAAGCUCCGGUGCAUAGCGGACGGCUAAAGCGUGCGGAGAAUGUCAAGAGAGGGCGGGGUCGACCGAAUUUGACAUGGGAGGAGUCUGUUAAGGGAGACCUGAAGGAUUGA
rnacentral:rRNA from 1 species